UAUUAUAAAUCAAAAACUAAUAUUUUAAGUGGAUUCGAAACCAAUGUGAAAAAGUGGAAACGAAAACUACUAAAUAUAAUUUUUAAAUUUAACACAAAUUAAUAUUAAUGGACGUAAUCUAGCACAUCACCAAUAUGUAUUGCAUUAGAAUUCUACCUUCACAAGGCAUCCUCUUCUUCCUCUCCAAAACCCACCCACAAGAGCAGAUAUUAGUUCUCCCAAUCUCCGGCAGGUCACCGCCGUCGAUCGGAAUUUCACAAUUUGCUCCGCAGGUCGCCGCUGUCGACUGGAAUUUCACAAUUUGCUCCGCACAUAGGAUUUUAAAAUUUAUAUACACUAAUUAUGAACAUGGAAGUCACAUUGCGCAAAACAAGCUCAUCUUCAGCUAAUGAGGUAUAUAGACAAAGAAAAAAUCUACAAGUGAUUUGAAUUAUAAAGAAUUGUCAUCUGCAAGACGGGGAGUUUAUUCUUUUCGAGCACAAGGCAAGGUUUACAUGAUCUUCCUGGAUUGGUCCCACAAUAUACGUCUCCAACGUUUUUCAGCUAUACUUUUAUGACACAUAAAAUGAGGUUGAGAACAGAAUUAACAUAAUGCAAAAUCAAGUUUUGUCAGAAGCAGUUGUACAGAUGUUCAUAAAAAUUUUAGAGAUCAACCCGUAUGCAAAAUUCUUUCGAAGAUUGAAAGAUUAUCCUUCAA